rnacentral:rRNA from 1 species
GGAUGCGAUCAUACCAGCACUAAAGCACCGGAUCCCAUCAGAACUCCGAAGUUAAGCUUGCUUGGGCGAGAGUAGUACUAGGAUGGGUGACCUCUUGGGAAGUCCUCGUCUUGCAUUCC